rnacentral:lncRNA from 1 species
CAGAAGCCUGGGCCAGAUUUCACCCAGCAAGGAGAUAAACUGGGAGGGACUUUCAAUGAGAAUGACGUCCUCUUGCUGCACUUUGCUGCCACCUAGUGGGAUAUUAGUGUUCUCUCUCCCUCUUGCCGGAGCAUUGAGGUGGUCUUCAGGCAAACGUCCUGGAAGUAAUUUCUCUUAAUCAUAUCUUACUUCUGUGGCAGAACAGCUGUGGGGAGCUCAUCUACUUGGCCACGUGGCAAGUGUCCUAGAGACACAGACACAGUAAUCAUUUGCGAGGGUUGUACUGGCUGCGUGGGCACCUGAGCCCACUGAGAAAACCAAGUGAGCCCACCCAACCUCUGCUCCAUCUAUGAACUACUAGAGCACGUGAAGGGGUCAGUCAUGCAGGAUCUGAGCAACAACGGUAUCCGUGAGGACCCAGUACUGAUGCUGUAGCAGAAGCAGAGGCCUCGAACCAGACCAGUGACUCACUGCAACGAAC